CUUCUUGCUGUUCCAGUGUGACAUCUAGUGGCACAGUGUAUUUUUACUAAUGAACUAGGAGAUAUGUGGGUUUUUUGGGUUUUUUUUUUCAGAUCUACUGUUGCAAUUGUCUCCCAAAUAGAUUUUCCCCAUUGGUCUUCAGAGGAAGGUCAUGCGCUGUUUGGACGGAGGACUAUGGGCUGUUUUGUCCCCUUAUCCUGUUGGAUUUUUCCAGAUCUAAGCCAGGGCCCAUGGGAGACGCCAGACACGCCGCUCACCUCGAGGAACAGAAAGGUCUCACCUCCCAGAGCAUCGGUCUCUCUCCAGACUGAUCAAAAUGAAAGUGACCAUUCUUCUUUCUCUGUCUUUCGAAGCCUAAUUUAUAUGGAUAAAUACUGGGGAAUUGUUUGGCUGGUGAAAUGCUGCAGGCAUCGUCUUCGCGUUAACAAUUGUCGCAAUUGUCAUAGCAGGAACACGGCAGUUGAAAACAACAACACAAAUCCUAAAUUAAACAGCAGAUUAAAGAAAACGUCCCCACUCAGAAAAGUAAAUAAGGAAAAAAAAAAAAGAUACAAUUAAAAAGCUCAGUGCAAAUCUCUCAUUGGUGGCAGACACCGAUGCUAAAAUAGGAACCCUUGCGUUAAAAAGACUUCCCAAGCACAGCGAUUUAAUUAAGAGAGCGAGCGAUGUGGCAGGGACACGACGGCGGGGAAGUCGCAGCGCAGCGACGGGCACCUCCCGUGGUGCAGGCCGUGCUCGCUGGGCGCCGUUUCGGGCGCCGCAGCUGGCCCAGCGUGGCGGCCCACCGGGUGUCGAAGCGGUGGCCGGGCCCGCGACACCGGGGCCACCGCGGGGUGGCAGGGCUGGGCUGGCGAGGCCAUCGGGGAGGCGCAGGCACGAAGCGGGCCCCACAGGGAUGGGAUCGCCUGCGCCACCGCCUCACAGCGCUGCAGAGGAGCUGCUGAAAAAUGCUCCCAAACAGGGCAAAAAGGAGGGCGGGGGGGCACAGCUUGACGAGCCCUUGCCGGCCCGACAGUUAUGAGGUACAGCCUUUUCCGUCGGCCCCAAAAGAAGCAUUAUCCACCCAGAAACCUUUACUACCUCCGUGGAGGCGAGCAGGGCUGCAGGUGACUUGCUGGGCGUGGGGGCAAGCGACUAUGGGAAGAGACGUUCAGAGGAAAUGGCUCAGCUGUGAUGUUUUCACCCUGUCCGGGUCACUGAGCUACUCCAGCGCUGCAGGGCCGGGCCCCGCACAAGGUGUUCGGCCACGGGGCUGCACGAAGCGGGGAAGGCGAACAGGCGAGGCGGUAACGCGAGCUACGCGCCCGUCGGAAGGGGGAAGCGCGGGCUGGGGGCGAGCGAAGGCGCCGCGCCGGCCGCGGCCUCCCGCGCCACCGCCCC
rnacentral:lncRNA from 1 species